rnacentral:rRNA from 1 species
CCUACGGGAGGCAGCAGUGGGGAAUUUUGGACAAUGGGCGCAAGCCUGAUCCAGCAAUGCCGCGUGCAGGAUGAAGGCCUUCGGGUUGUAAACUGCUUUUGUACGGAACGAAACGGUCUGCUCUAAUACAGUGGGCUAAUGACGGUACCGUAAGAAUAAGCACCGGCUAACUACGUGCCAGCAGCCGCGGUAAUACGUAGGGUGCGAGCGUUAAUCGGAAUUACUGGGCGUAAAGCGUGCGCAGGCGGUUAUAUAAGACAGAUGUGAAAUCCCCGGGCUCAACCUGGGACCUGCAUUUGUGACUGUAUAGCUAGAGUGCGGCAGAGGGGGAUGGAAUUCCGCGUGUAGCAGUGAAAUGCGUAGAUAUGCGGAGGAACACCGAUGGCGAAGGCAAUCCCCUGGGGCCUGCCACUGACGCUCAUGCACGAAACGACGGUGGGGAGGACGAAACGAAGGAGUAGUACUACCCGUACGGUACGUACCGACCGACCCGUAACCGUACGUAGU